GGCAAACCCCUAAAAACGACCAUCCCAGUUCGGAUCGCAGGCUGCAACCCCGCCUGCGUGAAGUUGGAAUCGCUAGUAAUCGCGGAUCAGCAUGCCGCGGUGAAUACGUUCCCGGGCCUUGUACACACCGCCCGUCACACCAUGAGAGUCGGGAACACCCGAAGUCCGUAGCCUAACCGCAAGGGGGGCGCGGCCGAAGGUGGGUUCGAUAAUUGGGGUGAAGUCGUAACAAGGUAGC
rnacentral:rRNA from 1 species